AGUGUACUCCCUCCGUCCCAAAAUACUUGUCGAAGAAAUUGAUAAAAGUGGAUAUAUCUAGAACUAAAAUAAGUCUAGAUAUAUUCAUUUCUCGGACGAGUAUUUUCGGACGGAGGGAGUACUUU
rfam:Triticum aestivum genome assembly, contig: Triticum_aestivum_CS42_TGACv1_scaffold_291830_4AL